CAAACUUGGGGUCAGUUGCCCCAUCCGGGUCUACUGUUGGUAGACAGGAAGAGGAGCAGGGGUGAAGGACCAGAUUGGCAUCGGGUAAGUGUUCAAGGCCUUGGCUGCGUGAGAGAAAGGGCAGCAGCCCAGCUUCUCUCUGUGCCCUGGAGAAGUGUCCCAGACAAUCCUGCUCACAGGACCAAGGAAGGAGCCUGAGCUCCAGGUGCAUCAUGGGAGACCUGGCCCCCUGUUCCAACCCUGCUUCCUCAAGGACAUGGUGGUGCAGACAGGACUGGACAGCAUGGCUGGCACUCUGCCCAUGGGGGAGCCUGGGGCACACCUCAUCCGUCAACCAACAGUCACCUCCGUGCCCAGGAAGCCAUAGCGCAGACGCGAACCGGAUCACCGCCCCCAUGGACGGCGGAGGACUGACCAGCUACCCGCCGGAUGCUAUCGACACUGAGAGACUGCGCCGGCCCCUCUGUCGGGCAAUUGGUUGGCACUGGGCUGCUGCCCCCGGCCACCAUUGCUGCCCCCCGGACACCCCUUCCCUCCCGCCUCCAAGCCCACAACUGUAUCCCCUCCUUCCAGACAGUGCCAUUUCCUUUGGGAGUCAAGGGUCAAACACUGCAUCAUGGGUGCCAAACCAAUCGCAACUCCAGGAGGGGAUGGAGGUGUGUGUGUGCCUCGUGCAUGAGAGCGAGGGCCGGGACCAGAGCAGGGUCAGAGGGGCCGCCCCUCUUUGGAACGGUAGAGGGUUAUGGAAACAGGGGUCUAGAGCUUCGGGCAGGGACUCCGCGGAAGGACCUGCGAGUGGGUGUGAAGUCGCGCCAGGGCCCUUAAUUCUAUAGUCGGUGCGACUUCCUCCUGCCCAGGCCCUUCUGUUGGUAGUUAUCUGCCUAGCUCUGGCUUCAAGAGUACAGACUCCCUCUGCCGCCCGAGGGGGGUGCCCCUGGGGGAGGGGGAUACAGGGACAGGAGUAAGGGGUGUGCCUGUGUAUGUGUAUGCGUGUGUGACUACCCUACGUCCUCCAUCGUUCCUGGAUGAGCAGGAGGGGGAGAGGACUAGCAGCACAUGCUAGAGUGGGAAGAUGCAAAGUGGUUUCCCACCAUCCUACCAACAGAAAUGGCACGGUCUGGCCCCCUCGUCUCAUCCUCCCCUCUCUGUCCCCUUGGCGGCCUGGGCUCUGUAAGCCCAAUUGCAUCUGUAUGAAAUUAAAAUGGAUACUCUUUUCCUC